UGGGCAGUAUCCUGUAGGAACUGCACCUGGAAAACAUGCAACUGAUAAAAAACAGUCUGCCUUGAUCCAAAAAGGACUGGGACAGAGGG
rnacentral:ncRNA from 1 species